UUUUUUUAAAUAGUAGGCAGGUUACUAAGUUUGUAAUUUUUGCACAAGCCGAUUCUUUUUUUUAAACAGUAAAAUUAAUUCCUUUAAGGAGUUAGCAAGGAAUUUUCCAUCUACUCGUGCUGAAAGCAUAAAUAGUUCUUUUUCUUUUUCAAAUAGAAAACAACAAAAUGACUGAAUACACAGUGAAAACAAGCGAUUUUCUCAAUGUCUUCAUAACUUCUUCAUGUGAAGAUAAAUCAAUUGAAAGGCGAUUUCACAAAGGGAUAACAAUAGCGGAUUUGAAGGGAAAACUGGAAAUUCUGACAGGAGGCAACCCGGGUACAAUGAAGAUCAAAGCUUUUGACAAAACAGACAAAUUAAUAUGCAAUCUUGACAAUGAUGAGGCGUUACUUGGCUCGUACCAUAUCGACGAUGGAAUGCGAAUACAUGUUGAGGACAACUUUGAACUCAGGAAACAGCUAGAUUAUGACAUGGAUGUACAAAAAUUUGAGCUAUCGCAAGAAGACUAUGCAAAACGGACAGAUUCUCUCCAGUCAUAUCUUAAGAUGCACAGACUUGGAAAGUACAACGAAACUGAAGUGGAAAAGAAAGAAAGGGAAAAAAAGAGAGAAGAAGAACUGGAGCAGGAGAAACUGAAGGACAUCAAAGUCGGGCUUAGAUGCCAAGUCAGUACACCCAUGCAGCCAGUUAGAAGAGCCACAGUAAAAUAUGUUGGAACUACUGAAUUCAACUCUGGCUUCUGGGUUGGUGUUCAAUUUGAUGAGCCUUAUGGAAAAAAUGAUGGAUCUGUUCAAGGAAAACGGUAUUUCGAGUGCCCGCCAAAAUACGGAAGUUUUGUCAAACCGAUGUACAUUGAAGUUGGAGACUUUCCUGAGGAGGAGAUCAAUUUUGAUGAUGAACUCUGAUUCGACUGUAUUUCGUUAACAAAAGAAAGCACAAGCCUUCAAAUUUUGCCAUUUUUUCCUCCUAAUUGUUUACAUUUUUGGGUUCAUGUGAUACUGUAGAAAAUUGAACACCAGUAUUUUUUGGCAAUAAAAAAUCCUGAGUCUAGAUUAAAUAUUUUUUACUUUUUAAAA
rnacentral:misc_RNA from 1 species